GACUGUCAGUGUAAAAGAAAGAGGAAGUUAUCAUUCAUAAAACAUCAAAGCCAAGAGAUGAUUAGUUUUGCAUGACGUGUCAAGUCAGCAGCCACUGAUUUGAUUUCUCUCUAUUGCAGUGUCUCUUCUAACUACAGUGUGUGAGUCAUAAGUCAUACACUCAGUUUUCAACGUGUGUUUUGUUCACACUUCUCAAGAAAUUCGUCGUAUAUUGUUUUUUUUACGGAUCUUUUUCCACCUUGCUUUUAAUCUAGUAUUUGUUGAAGCAAGUAGUAACUGGAGUGGACUCCACUGCAAACAGGUAACUUGUGGGUGUGCAGCUGGAGUUGCUGCUACAUUUAGAGCUCUAGUUGGUGGUGUGUUGUUUGUAAUGGAAGAUAUUACAUCCUGGGAGAGGAGUCAACUAAUGUGGUGGUGUGUCUUUUUCACAUUACAUUUUGUGGAUAUUGUGGUGCGAACUACGAUGGGGUAGUGUAGGAGCGGAAAAUACGGACAUUUUGGAUCAGACAGUGGUCAAGAGGAUUAUUCGUUUGUAGAGUUAUUCCCAAUGGUUAUUAUUGGGGUUAUUGGAGGUAUACUAGGAGCUUUAUUUAACCAACUUACACUUUAUAUUACUAUUUGAUGUCGAAAUCAUCUUCACAAGAAAGAGAAUCGGGUCAAGGUAUAUUGUUUAUUUUUAUCCUAUUGUUUUCCGACUUUAUUUCUAUUAAAUGAAAAAACAAAUCAAGGUGGAAAGAAACUAAGGAAGACAAAGGACAAAGGAUUAAAGGACCGAACCAAAUGAAGAAAAUUAUUGUUGUUCAUUAUAUUAUGUUUAUUCAUUUUGCAGUACUUUUUCCUAUCUCACUUGUCUGUUUAUAUUUUGUGCGUUUCACACCUCCAAUGUACUGCAUAUUAUUGAAGCAUGCCAUGUCUCUCUUCUAACAUCAGUUAUUUCAUUUUGCUUUCCGCUUCUAAGAAAAUGCAGUCUCUGUCCUGAACCUGAUCCUACAUUUGGUAUUCAAUGUCCACGACCUCCUGGAAUGUAUGGGAAUUAUGUUAAUGUAAGACCAAUGGUUUAAUUUUAUUUUGUUUCCUUCAUCUACCUCAUUUUUUCAUAAUUAAACUUUUAAAAUCUGUUUACUGAAUUUCAAUCAGUGUUAUCAAUAGUGGCUGUAAGAUCCCAAUUUUGAUCCUAAGAUCCCUCAUGCCAUCUCAUCAACCUGCAUUGACUUUGGGAUCACACCUUGGUAUCCUCCUCGCCCCUCAUUCAUUGGGUUUACAUUGGGAGAGAUCACCAAGCACAUUUAUGAUUGUAUCAUACUUUGUUUUUAUUUGUUUGCUAACCAAAAUACCAAAAAUAUGUCUAGUGUAGCUUUAUUUCUUUUGUAGGUAGUGUGUGCAUCCACAUAUGCCUCAUCAAGCUCAUAUUAGGGUUUGAGACCCUUAAUGCAAGAUAUUAAUCAAAGUAAUAUUCACAUUGGUUCUAAACAUCAUAUAUGGAUCCCCAUGUUCUUUAUUUGUCAUUUUGAUCAAGAUUUCAUCAAGAGUUUGAAGCUUGUUUGUCAAGGAAGCCCUAAUUCAUCUGAUUAUCUUGUGUGCCUUCCUCAACAAGUUUCUUCAACAAAUUGGUCAAUAUUAUCAAUGUAUAUUCCAUUUUACUUCAUAUUAUACAUAUAUGAUCCUCCAUAAGCCCAAAAAUGGCAAAGUAACUUCAAGUUUGCAAGUUGGUUCAAGGGGGUUGACCAGAAAAGCCAACUGGUCAAAUCUAGGAUUCCCUAGACCCUAUCUCCUACAAUUUUUGUCAUAUGAAAAUGAUUCCAAGAGAAAAUUUACUCAUUAUGACAUUCCAAACAACU